rnacentral:rRNA from 1 species
GCAAGUCGAGCGGGGACUUCGGUCCUAGCGGCGGACGGGUGAGUAACGCGUGGGAACAUACCCUUUGGUACGGAAUAGCCUCGGGAAACUGAGAGUAAUACCGUAUGUGGUCGUAAGACGAAAGAUUUAUCGCCAAAGGAUUGGCCCGCGUUGGAUUAGGUAGUUGGUGGGGUAAUGGCCUACCAAGCCGACGAUCCAUAGCUGGUUUGAGAGGAUGAUC